rnacentral:rRNA from 1 species
UACGUAGGGCGCAAGCGUUGUCCGGAAUUAUUGGGCGUAAAGAGCUCGUAGGCGGCCUGUUACGUCUGCUGUGAAAUCCCGGGGCUUAACCCCGGGCGUGCAGUGGAUACGGGCAGGCUGGAGGCAGGCAGGGGAGAACGGAAUUCCCGGUGUAGCGGUGAAAUGCUCAGAUAUCGGGAGGAACGCCGGUGGCGAAGGCGGGUCUCUGGGCCGGUACUGACGCUGAGGAGCGAAAGCGUGGGGAGCGAACAGG